AAGAUUGAAUAGCCCCUUAUAGUUCCUUUGGGGAAAUUGAUAGGUUUAGUUUAUAGUUAAUCGCAGUAGGCGUAUUCUUGCAUAAAAAAAGAAGUGAAGUCAAAGAGACGCUAAUAUAAAUUUGUGAAAAUCAUAUAAAAAACUAAGAAUUUGUCGGCGCCAAGAGAUGGUAAAGAUAUUGAGUGAUUAAAAUAGCUGAUUGAAGAAAGGAUUUGAUGAAAGACAAAAGAAAGGCGUGAAGGGAUAAAUAGCGGCUAGCUAACAAAAUAGAAUCCCUCACUCAUUCACAUUGGCCCAACUCACUUGACCUCAAACAUUUUGCUAUUUGGCGCGCUCGCCAAUUUAUUGAGAAUACCAUCCUAGCCACCCACCCACACCGUAGAUCAAUACUUUGGAAUUAAAAUAAAUAUACAGUCCACAACAAUUGAA